rnacentral:misc_RNA from 1 species
GCCGGUUACCAUUUUGUGAACCUUGCAACAUAAUAAUUGUGGAUACCGAAAGGUUGACUUUUUAUUGUUUGUCCUGUUCUAUAUAGCAAAGUGGCUCGGUUUUUGCAACCAUUAGUAUAAUGAAAUAACUGCAAAGUUGAUUCAUAUAAUAUUAAUUUAACUUUGAUCUCAAAUCAUGUAGGACUACCCGCUGAACUUAA